rnacentral:rRNA from 1 species
AUUGAACGCUGGCGGCAGGCCUAACACAUGCAAGUCGAACGAGUGGCGGACGGGUGAGUAAUGUCUGGGAAACUGCCCGAUGGAGGGGGAUAACUACUGGAAACGGUAGCUAAUACCGCAUACCAUCGGAUGUGCCCAGAUGGGAUUAGCUAGUAGGUGGGGUAACGGCUCACCUGGGCGACGAUCCCUAGCUGGUCUGAGAGGAUGCCCAGCCACACUGGAACUGAGACACGGUCCAUACUCCUACGGGAGGCAGCAGUGGGGAAUAUUGCACAAUGGGCGCAAGCCUGAUGCAGCCAUGCCGCGUGUAUGAAGAAGGCCUUCGGGUUGUAAAGUACUUUCAGCGGGGAGGCGUUACCCGCAGAAGAAGCACCGGCUAACUCCGUGCCAGCAGCCGCGGUAAUAC